rnacentral:lncRNA from 1 species
GUAAGGGAUGGCUGUAAGGGAAGGAGAAAGAGGCAGCUGAAGGUUCUUUCUGUUAGAGCUGGUUUCUCUGAAAAACACCGAAAGAAGACAAAAGGGAGAAAAGCAAUUCUGAAACAAAGAGCAAAAGGGAAUGACUGCCAUUUACCACCUUUCUCAAUUAAACAGUCCCACAAUUCAGGUAUGUAGCAAUAUGUUCAAG